GCUCCCUAUACGGAAACAGGCAUUCUAAACCAGAAUCUAACACUCAAGACGAAAAGCAUGAACUAAAAAAGCAAUCUCUUCAGUUCCUUACUUCUGUUUCAGCGCACUACUUCUUGCCUACCAGAUCACUCCUUCUUCCUAUUAAGAGUCCACAACUUAGUACUUGUUGCCUGAAGCCCAUCUCCUACAUUCAGUCAUUCAGGGAUAUUACAUUUUGUUUCGAAAAUGACGGCAGCUCACUCCAUCUCUCUAAUAAGAUCAAAAUUGUGUUCACUUUAAGAGAAUCAAAAACACACACAGAUCCUGCUCUGGCACCUGCUAAAGGGGAACUUCCAGAACUCACCAAGUCUUUCAGAUGAAGAAGCCCACAAAAGCCAGAUACAGUUGUAACAUAUGGAAGUGAAAUUGCUUUUGUCAGCCAAAAUGUAAAAUGAGGUAGUGAAUGAUGAGGCAUUAAUUCUUUUUUUUUUUCACUAAUUCAUUUUUCUUCUGCCAGCUAUAUUGUCAUAGCUUAUUCUUGUUUGUGUAUUUAAUGAACACAAAAGCAUUAACAAGAGAUGAGCAACAGUUACAAGGAAACAAGAACAAGAGGUCAACACUUAAUGUAGACUGUUGGGAAAACAGUAAGACAAUUCCUAGCACAAUGAAGCUUGGAAAACAAUUUUGUUCUCAACUGGCAUCCAAAGUAUCUGUCAGAUCAACUGAAGAUGUGACAAUAUCAUGUGGAGGUUGUAUUCACUUGCUUGCCUGCCUUUGCUCAAAGACUUUUUUGUGUGAAGAUAAGGAUCCUCUUUGAUCUCUUGCUAUAUCCUUGGGGGCAUAAGACAUCAUUUUCUCUGUGGAGCCACCUUGGCAAUUUUGCUCCUGUUGCCAGUGCAGCUACAGUUUUCUCAGGAAACUUUAUCUUUGCUGCUUUUUUCUUACACAGAACUUGAACUAGGGUACGU
rnacentral:lncRNA from 1 species